UUGGAUUGGCGCAUACAUGCAAAUACGCAUUUCAUUGCACUUGUGCAUAUGACAAUAAACUGAACUGGUCUGGCUCCAGAAAAAUUCCCUACUGUAUAAAUGGAGAUUAAUGUGAGAUGCCUUUGAAUUGGUGCCACGCUGGGGAUAUAAUUAUGCAAUCUUUUAUUGAACAGAUGAAGCUCACAAACUUCCACUGCUGCCACUAAAAAAAUAUCCCCCAAACUGGCACAGACUUUACACAACAGGGCCCUCUAGUGGCUAAUACCAUUCACAGCAGGAAUGAAGGUAAUGAAGCUGUUUAUUAGUAGCUGUAUUACAGCUAACGUAUGUACAAUAUUUAGUAGUUCAGGUGGGGAGCUGCGUCAGCAUGCGUAGGCUUGCAAAGGAACAAGUAAUAGGUUUAUUCCCUGCUGAAAAAAAAGAAGAAAGAAAACACAACGUUUCGGCCGUGGAGCCUUCUUCAGGUGUGCAGGGCAAAAUCGGCGCCGCAUCAUCGAUCGGCGUCCACGGCAACGCGCCGGCUCACACGGCCCCACCCACACCGGAGACGGCAUUCCUUACUCUGAGCUAUCACACGGAAUGUUUGCUGUUUGAGGGGGAGUCACGUAAGGAAUGAGAUGACCAAGAUAUCUAAGAAAAAAUAUCUGCAAUUCAAAGGCAUUAUCUCCUGUACUUCACAAGUAAGUUCUGUGCUGUCGUGGUCUGAGGAAACUGAAUCCAGCAAGCGGAGUUCCCAGGGGAACCUACUGGUACCACUUUCUGUGCUAAAGACAUACAUGGUGCAUGAUGGGUCAAACACAUUUCCUCUAGAUCAGGGGUAGCCAGCCCAGUCCCAGCCUGGAGAGCUACUGCCCAGCAGCUCUCUUUUACACCUGAACCUCGUACGCGUUUAAAUUUUGACUUGGAAAAUGUGUGAAUCCUGAACAAUUUAGUAAGUUAACUGAUUCGGUUAACUCAGGUAAUGACUGCUUGUGGUCUUUUAAAGGGAGUGGAGGAAGCUGAUAUUUUUAUUUUAGAUCAUCUAAAAAUCGUUUGAUUAGACAGCAACCAGAUGCAGUGGUCAGAACAAAGGUGUUUUGCAGUUGAGUGUUUGAGGAGUGACGUGUUCUAUUGGAGCUCCCCCUGACCAAGGUCGGGGCGCCCCUGUCCCCAGAUACAGCAGCACCCACAUCAGUGUCUCGUCAAUAGUGAUUGUCAUCUCAAAGCACUUUGCGAAGGCGUGUGUCACAAUAGGACGAUAGUAAAAAAAUACAUAGCAGACGAGUAAUAUAGAAAGUACAUCAAGCAAUCGUUAGGUUUCAGAAAAACAACAAAAACUAUUCAGAUGAGCCGCUAACGAACGAUUAGGACAUGACUCAGUUGUAAGCUCUUGAAAUUUGAAGAACUUGCUCAACUCACACCUUUACAAGAAACUACAGUAGCAGAGUGACUUUCAAAGCUUAUUUAUGAAGUGUAAAAUUCAUAUUUAAUUUUUCAUUCCAAGAGAGUGUUUUGCAAAAUGGAGAA
rnacentral:lncRNA from 1 species